CGCGCUGCGUCUGAGCUGACGGCCGGUCCGGCUGUGCCGUGCGCAGCAGCGGCAGUAGCUGUGGCUGAUUGCUGCCACGUGAUACCGGGAUGCUGGCGGCACUGUCUGGGUACCUGCGCUGCUGCAGUGGUCGGUUAAGUAUCUAGUCUUGCUUCAUCGUUUUUGUUUGGACAGAUUUUCUUUCCUGAUAGCAUGAACUCUAAGCCUCCCGUUUCGGCUGAUGUGGCUCCUGCUGCGCAUUUGAGAUUCGAGAUGGCUGGUCUGACGAUGCCGAGUUUUGAUGGACGUGGCUCGCUGAGACGUUUUCUUGGUGAUUUUCAUUGAUAUGCCAUGCUCCGAGAAUGGACUGGGAAGCAAAGGUCAAGUGUCUUCCCGCUGUCACUCACUGGCAUUGCUCGUGACGCAUUCGAUAGCUUGCCCACUCAACAGACUGCCACCUUCGAGACGGCGGCUGCAGAGUUGAGAGGUGCUUUCGGUGCUAAGACCGUGAAAGAUCACCACCUCGCCUUCCGGAAACGAGUUGGGGUCCGGCCGUCGAGAGAGCAGUCUCCAGCGAAGCGUUCCACCACCGAGCGAUCGGACUGCUUAAACUCCGAUGGCGUUUAGGCUGAGUCACCAUCGAAUGUAAUAUCACUGACCGAUGACAUGCGUCUGACGGCGCGCCUCGCUGGUGUGGAUUGUCAGUGUCUUCUUGACACAGGUAGUUCGAUCAGCGUGUUGCAUAAGUCCGUAUUUCAUGCAAUGCCAAACCUGACACUGACGAAGACGUCUGUACAGGCCCGUACUGCGUCGCAUUGUGAGCUCCCAUUUCUUGGUCGAACUGUGGUGCCUUUCGACAUUGCUGGCGUCAAGUGCACCAUACCAUUUUUCGUUUCUGAUGUCACUGACGUGCUUUGUUUGCUCGGUGUUGAUUUUUUGCAGCAUUACCCCUACGUUAUUGACUUGCGUGCCAAACAGCUCUUUGUUAUCCCCGUCGAGGCCGUUCGUUCAGUGUCACCUCACGCAGUGACGAUUGGCGACGUUUCUUUCAGUGCUGACCGAGUCAUCUUUCCUGGCACUGAGGUUAUUUUAAAAGGUUUUGUGCAGAAUAGUUUUUACAAUGGCGCUGCUCUCGUCGAACCCGUUGAUUAACUGAAUGGUUUCCUGGUCACCAGUGCACUCGUGACUGUCGCUGGCUCCAGAGUGUCAUUCGUUGUUCGAAUUGUGGCGACUGAACCCACUACUAUUCCCAAAAAGCGUGCCCUGGCCAGGCUGGAGGUUGGUUUUGCCGAGCAGCCACACGGUUCGAAAGAUGAGCUGAGGACUGAGCAAGCUGUCAAACUGCGGUCUGACCAGUGUGGUUCCGACCUGUCGCCUGAGCAGAGAAGCUGGUGACGCGGUGUAUCUUUUCAAGAGUGUAGCUCAGC